CCUAUCGACAUCAUCUCAUCCAUAGCACCAAUGUGGGAUGACAGAGAGUGCAACUCAAAUUUUAGUCUUGACUUUGGAGCAGUCUCAUAGCUACAGCAUAAGGGAUGGGGGCUGGUGAACUGAGAGAAGCAAGAGCCAUCCAUGGAAGGCUCAGAACAGGCUCUGCCUGUAUGUUUGCUGAACAGUAUUGGUGAGUAUAGAAUUGGUGAGUGUAUUGCAUCCUUUUCCCCACCCCCACCCCAAACACUUUCCUUAAUGCUUUCUUUUUAAUGGUGGUACUACUAAGAGGGUAAAGCUGAGCCCAAGCAACUUAAUAAAGGUGAUUCUUAUCAUUCAAGUCCCAUGUUCAACUCCUCUCUGUUUCUAAUGGGAAACACACUUUUGUUCUUAUUCACUUAAGGCAACACACGUUUCCAAGUGUCAGCAGAUUUUUUUUUAAAUGCUUCAACUGCAGUUAUCAUCUGCUGAAAUAGUGUCUGGCCUCUACCUGGUUGGCUCUAUAGAAUUCCACUUUUGCUUUGGAGCAGUGUGCUGUCCUGAAGGACACGUAUAGUGAGCAAGGAUUUUAGUUCAAAAUCGGGAGCCUUCAUUCAAAAUGCCCUUUCAGUCACUGAGCUGCCCUGUAGAGACCAGACUGAAGGCUGGAAGGGAACUCAGUUGGGAAGUACACACCUAGCAUGAUAGAGUCCUGGGAUCCACCACGAGUGCUGAAAAUAAGAUGCAAAAAAUUAAUAAAAGCUGACUGUAUUGGUUAAGUUUUCUCAUGGAUGAGACCAAACACCAUCAAUAAUCAACUGAAGGGAGCAAGGGUGUAUUGUGGCUCUCAGUUCAGAGGAACAAAGUCCAUCAUGGUGGAGAAGGCAAGGCAGAACAGCUUAGCCCUUGGCACCAAGAAGCAGACAAUGUGCAUCCCAGGGCUCAUUUGGCUUGCUCCUGUCUCCUUUUUUUUUUUUUUUUUUUUAAAUUCUGAUUAUGGGAUGGAGCGACCCACUUUCAGGCAGAAUCUUCUUCAGUUUUCCUGUCUGAAAAGCCUUCGAAUUCUCACACAAAGAUGUGCAUCAUUAAAGCUGUAUGUUCUUUAAACUUUCCUUUUGGCAUUUAUAUAUGACAUGGUGCACACAUGGAGGUCAGGAGACGACUCACAGGGGCCAGUUAUCUUUACUAUGUCGGUUUUAUGACUCAAAAUUAUGUCAUCAGACUUGGUAGCAAGCACAUUUACCCACAGAGCCACCUUACCGGCUCCUUGGGUGUUCCCUAAUUUGUCAAGUAGACAGCUGAAGUGAGAAUCACACCUGCUGUAGAGGGAUGUUGCUUGGUGUUGAUGCAGGUGGGUUCUGAGAUGCUUGAUAGCAGGCACUUUCAUUCUGUGUCGAUACUGUAGAAUGGACUUACAGAAACGCACAUGGCAUAACCUACGAUGUGCCUUGACUAUAAGACAAUAGGCAUGGCUUCUAGAACACAGACAGCUGUCUGGAUGCUAUAGGUAACUGGAACAUAAUGCUUGUGGUUUCAAUGCAAAUUGUUUCCUGUAGGCUCACAUGACUGAAUGCUUGGUCCCAGCUGGUGGUGCUGUUCUAGAGAAUUGUGUAAACUUUAAGACAGUGGUUUUCAAUCUUCAUAAUGUUGGGAGCAUUUUAUAUAGUUUCUCAUGUUGUAAUGACCUCCCCA
rnacentral:lncRNA from 1 species